rnacentral:rRNA from 1 species
AAUUGGAUUCAACGCCGGAAAUCUUACCGGGACCGACAGCAAUAUGAAGGCCAGGCUGAAGACUUUGCCGGAUUAGCUGAGAGGUGGUGCAUGGCCGUCGUCAGUUCGUACUGUGAAGCAUCCUGUUAAGUCAGGCAACGAGCGAGACCCACGCCCACAGUUGCCAGCGUACUCUCUGGAGUGACGGGUACACUGUGGGGACCGCCGCUGCUAAAGCGGAGGAGGAAUGGGCAACGGUAGGUCAGUAUGCCCCGAAUAUCCCGGGCUACACGCGAGCUACAAUGGUUGGUACAAUGGGUAUCUACCCCGAAAGGGGACGGGAAUCUCCUAAAACCAAUCUUAGUUCGGAUUGAGGGCUGCAACUCGCCCACAUGAAGCUGGAAUCUGUAGUAAUCGCGUCUCAAAAUGGCGCGGUGAGUAUGUCCCUGCUCCUU